rnacentral:rRNA from 1 species
CUCGCGCGAUUGGAGCGGCCGAUGUCGGAUUAGCUAGUUGGUAGGGUAAAGGCCUACCAAGGCGACGAUCCGUAGCGGGUCUGAGAGGAUGAUCCGCCACACUGGGACUGAGACACGGCCCAGACUCCUACGGGAGGCAGCAGUGGGGAAUUUUGGACAAUGGGCGCAAGCCUGAUCCAGCCAUGCCGCGUGAGUGAAGAAGGCCUUCGGGUUGUAAAGCUCUUUCAGGUGGAAAGAAAACGCAUGGGUCAAUACCCUGUGUGGAUGACGGUACCAUCAGAAGAAGCACCGGCUAACUACGUGCCAGCAGCCGCGGUAAUACGUAGGGUGCGAGCGUUAAUCGGAAUUACUGGGCGUAAAGCGUGCGCAGGCGGUGAUGUAAGACAGAUGUGAAAUCCCCGGGCUCAACCUGGGAACUGCGUUUGUGACUGCAUCACUCGAGUACGGCAGAGGGAGGUGGAAUUCCGCGUGUAGCAGUGAAAUGCGUAGAUAUGCGGAGGAACACCGAUGGCGAAGGCAGCCUCCUGGGC